rnacentral:rRNA from 1 species
GAUGAACGCUGGCGGCGUGCCUAAUACAUGCAGGUCGAGCGAACGGACGAGAAGCUUGCUUUUCUGAUGUUAGCGGCGGACGGGUGAGUAACACGUGGAUAACCUACCUAUAAGACUGGGAUAACUUCGGGAAACCGGAGCUAAUACCGGAUAAUAUUUUGAACCGCAUGGUUCAAAAGUGAAAGACGGUCUUGCUGUCACUUAUAGAUGGAUCCGCGCUGCAUUAGCUAGUUGGUAAGGUAACGGCUUACCAAGGCAACGAUGCAUAGCCGACCUGAGAGGGUGAUCGGCCACACUGGAACUGAGACACGGUCCAGACUCCUACGGGAGGCAGCAGUAGGGAAUCUUCCGCAAUGGGCGAAAGCCUGACGGAGCAACGCCGCGUGAGUGAUGAAGGUCUUCGGAUCGUAAAACUCUGUUAUUAGGGAAGAACAUAUGUGUAAGUAACUGUGCACAUCUUGACGGUACCUAAUCAGAAAGCCACGGCUAACUACGU